CCCAGAGGUACUAGAAACACAUCCAUCUACCCUACAACCUCCUUGAGGAAUGUGAGUAUAUUCUAGGAAGCACUGGCCUGUUCUGGGGUACCCACAGCCGGCACAUAUUCUCCUGUUAUUUUGAGCCAAGGAAGCCACACAAUGGAUGGCCAGCACUCACGCAGUACUUACGAGGUGCGGAUGCUUCGAAGGCGACCCUUUCUGAAUGUGACAGUAACAUUGCGGCAGCAGUGGCUCUCGUAGUAGUAGCACUUCAGAUUGGUGCUGGCCGUGCAGCAACACUUACAGUUGGGGUCAUUGGCCCAGGAGCAGCAGCACCAGUGGCAAUUGGGGUUCUCCGCGCAGGUGCAGUGGCAGAACUGGCAGUUCCGCUCAUCCUUGUAGGGGCAGGGGAAGCAGGUGCAGUUGCGCUCGGAGGUGAAGAUGAACUUGCAGCACAGGCAGGAGAAUAGCCGGGGGCAGCAUCUCUGCCAGGUACAGCAGGGAGAACAGACACACAUAGCCGUCUCCAUGGCUCCUAGAUCCCAGGUACAAGGCCUCUAGAGUUUUGACAACGUCCUCUACCAGAUUCUUGAGGCCACGUCUCUCCCAAAGGGACCCUUGCCCACUCUCCUG
ensembl:antisense